AGAGUUUGAUCCUGGCUCAGAUUGAACGCUGGCGGCAGGCCUAACACAUGCAAGUCGAACGGUAGCACAGGAGAGCUUGCUCUCUGGGUGACGAGUGGCGGACGGGUGAGUAAUGCAUGGGGAGCUGCCCAAUCGAGGGGGAUACCAGCUGGAAACGGCUGCUAAUACCGCAUACGCCCUGAGGGGGAAAGGUGGGGACCUUCGGGCCUACCGCGAUUGGAUGCACCCAUGUGGGAUUAGCUAGUUGGUGAGGUAACGGCUCACCAAGGCGACGAUCUCUAGCUGGUCUGAGAGGAUGACCAGCCACACUGGAACUGAGACACGGUCCAGACUCCUACGGGAGGCAGCAGUGGGGAAUAUUGCACAAUGGGGGAAACCCUGAUGCAGCCAUGCCGCGUGUGUGAAGAAGGCCUUCGGGUUGUAAAGCACUUUCAGUAGGGAGGAAGGGUUGAUGUCUAAUACGCAUCAACAUUGACGUUACCUACAGAAGAAGCACCGGCUAACUCCGUGCCAGCAGCCGCGGUAAUACGGAGGGUGCAAGCGUUAAUCGGAAUAACUGGGCGUAAAGCGCACGCAGGCGGUUAGAUAAGUCAGAUGUGAAAUCCCCGGGCUCAAC
rnacentral:rRNA from 1 species